UUAAUGACGUAAUUAUUUAAUAUUUUAAUAGUUUUUAAAGAUUUUACGAUUAUAUUUAAUUAUUUCUGAAAUUAGUUUUAAUAAAUUUCUUGCAUACGUAAAUUUAAAUGUUAAUUUAUAUAUAUAUAUCAAAAAUAUAGUUACGAUUUCUUAAAUAAAGAAGUUCGAAUCAAAAUGAUUAUUUUAUUAAAAUGUGUGAGCCCUCGAAGGUGAGUCUCUUAGUUGGGUCUCGUAAGAAAACAAAUCGAGAUGAAAAAUAAAUAAAUAAAUAAAUAAAUAUAAUAACAAUAAUAAUAAUAAUAAUAAUAAUAAUAAACAAUAAUGAUAAUAGCAACGAGUAUAAAAAGCCCAUGAAACCCUAAUCACUAAAGCUAGCCGUCUUUCCCCUUUUUCCUUCCUCCCUCUUCUCUUUCUUUCUCCCUUUCCCUUGCUGUGCCGCCAGCAGUCACGACCACCAGCAGCAGCGGCCGUUUCUUCUCGCACGCAGCAGCAGCCAGGGGCUGCGUUUCUUCUCGCACGCAGCAGCAGCCAGGGGCUGCGUUUCUUCUCGCAAACAGAAGCAGCCCAGCCGCCCACGAAAACACCACACCGGAGCCUCGCCUCACUCCCACGGCAGCCCAGCAGCAGGCGGCUGCAAGCACGCCCAGCAGCAGGCGGCUGAAACACGCCACAGCAGGCGGGGUCUCCUCUUUGGAUCCGUGCAGCCUUCCCCCUCCACCACCGUGUCUUGAGCCACGCCACCACCACAAGAACCACCAACCUCUUGACCCAUUUCCUAGUCUCACCCAUUGUGCCCAUUCUUAAGAGAAAGUAGAGCCUUAGUUGGGUGAUUUUGUGAUUCUUGAUCGUGCAGUGACGCUUACAGCAGGAGGAUUAUAGACUGGCUUAGCAGGUACUGGAGCUUCUUAUGUAUUGCAUUGCAUUUGGGAAGAGUGAUGAGCGCGAAGCAUAACUUGUGUCAUUACCCCUAUCUUUCGAUUUUGUAUCUCUUGUUAUCCUUUGUAAAUUUUGAUUGUAUAUGUUUUGUUAUGAGGCCUUGUGCCCUCUCACGUGCAUUUGUAUUUCCGCUGCGUAGUUUAUAACUCUGUAUGGUUUUGAGGAGUUAAGUCUUUUUAAAACGCAAACGUCGACACUGGAACCACGAUCCAUGCUUGGCAUGUUGAUUUGAGAAGCCGGCGACGAAUUAUUCCGCCGUGACAUAGCUUUGAUAGGCCAUUGGUGCCUUUACUUUAUUAGUUUUUGAAUUAACUUUUGUUUUCUACAAAGACGCACAAUUUUAAGGCAGAUGCUGCCAAAAUUUCCACUCACUCACCUUUUUAAGUUAAUAAUUAAAGUUUAUUUAAAAUUCUUUUCCUUUUUCUUUUAUGUAACACCCGAAUUUCCUCCCGUCCUUUACGGUUUUGGUUUCGUUAAGGGGCCGGAAAUUCUGGGGUGUUACAGGUGGUUACCAGAGCCAGUGGUCCCUAUUUUCGACGUUUUGUGUCUUCCAAUUUGUUGAGAAAUUUCUUGAAGUUAGAAGUUAUUCGUGAGAUUUGGGUAGACAUGGGAUAGGUGCAUAUAUUACAUAAUGCAUAAUGAUUGCCAUUGCACGUGCAUAGAUCAAUAUAUAGUUUGUUUAGCUUGUAAUGAGAUUCAUUUUCAUGUGUGUUAUUAUAAAUAAUAAUUAUGAUGUUGGUUGAAUGAUGACAUGAUUUAACAAAUCAGUAGAAUUGAAUGAUGUAUUAUCAAGAAAUAAUGAAAUUUUUGAGUAUUUGUUUCAACUCAUGAGUUGUAUUAUAAGUAGUCAUUAUGAAGAUGUGAAGUAUGAAUGAAGAAAUUCUAGAGAAGUUGGUUGCAUCGGGAACUUCCUCUUGCUCGUGAUGAUUAUAUGAAAUUUAGCCUUAUGUGUUUGAGUAUUUGUUCAUGUUAAUUGCUUUCAUAAAGCUUAGUAGUUUUGAUAUUAAUUCUAUACAUGAACCCACUAAUUAUUAUCUGCUUGAGCAUUUCCUUUGUUGGGUGCAUUCGUCCAUCAUAUCAUAACAUAGAAGGUGGUGAUCAUAAUUCUCUUGAAUAUGUUGAAUGACUGUGCAUGUAUGAGCAUAGGUAGUUUGAACUAGAAUAAGCAUAAGAGCUAAAGGGUAAUAAGAAUUUGAUGUAUUGUAAAUGAAAGAAAAGGGUCUUGUAUGCGAUACCUUGUAAAUAAAUUUUUAAUCACCAGUUGAUGAUAAUAAUGCGGUCAUAGCUAAAGUAUAGAUGCGUUAAAACCUACAUAUUAAUAUAAGCAGAAGUUCGAGAGCACGUUAAGAGUUUAUAGUUUGAGAAUUCAAUCCUCAAUUUCGAACCAUGAUCUAUAAGAGUAUUAUUGAUAUAUUCUUUAUAUAGUGCUGAGUUGAAGUUAAGAGAUUGUUUUCAACGCCGCUAAGUGUUUAAAGAUAAUGCUAUAUUAGCUGAACCAAAUUAUCACGUUAGUAUUGUUGUUCAUACUAGAAUCGCUUUAAUAUUUCUAUUUGAAGUUAUAAUUCUUACUAGAUUGAGGCUCUCGACCUUUGUAACUAGCUAUAGUAACAUUGGUGUUGAGUUUUAGUGUGGCAUAAAUGUGUCUACCAAUAAACGUUUUUAGUCUCAUACAGUGAUUGAGACUGAUGCUUUAAAUUGGUUUAUGUAACAUAUAUUCGUUAGUUCUAAACCCAACAUAUUAUGCUUGUAGUGAGACCUUGAGAAUCAGUUGAGAGUGAAAACGAUAGUCAACCUAUCAGUCUUAGUAAACACUUUAUAUAUAUUUUGAUGAAUUAUAUACUAUAAAGGUCCUCUGUCAUUGAUUUUAAUUUUUGUAAGCAUUCAACUCUCAUCAUAAUGAAUAUAAUAUUUCAUGUUUGUCGAAGGCUAACAACCUUUAAAUCUCUAUUUAAAGGGAUUCCUUGGAUAAAAUAAGGGUGAUUUUUUUUUUUUUUUUUUGAAGACAUAUGAGUUUGAGUAUCAAAGGAGAAAAUUAUUGUUCGCAAGUCCUUUGAGUUCUGUAUUUCGUUGAGACAUGAUAUAUCAUUCAUACAUAAGUCGAUAACUUCAUAUUAAAGUGGAUAGUUAAAGAAUAAUCAUCGUAAACAAAUUUUCAUGUUAAGGGCCUAAGGAUUGAUUCAAGGGAGCACUAUUGAGUUAAGACAUUUUGUCUUAUUAAAUGCUUAUAUAGAGUAAUGAAUAUUUUAAUCAGAUGAUAAUGUGAAGAAGAACCGUGACGGUUUUAAAGCGUUAACUGGAUAAAAUGAUAUUUGAAAUUAAAAAGGAAUCAGUGAUAUUAUAAUUUGUUUUCCUCAUGGCCUUCGGGGCUAUUACAAGACAUAAGAAUAAAAUAACCUGAUGAUGAGGUGGAAUAAGCGUCCUUGUGCACGUAAGAUAUAGUUAAAUGUUUGAAGUCUUUUAGAAUUUCUCAUUGAUCGCCAAUUUAAUAGCCAGUGUAUUGAAAUGAUAAGACCUAGAUGAGAUUCUAAAUGAAGCUGACUUUACGCAAGUUAUUGUUUAAUAAUGAUUGAUGUGAUAAGUUGGAGAGUUACUAAAGAUAAUGUGGUCCUAAUAAAAGUCAAGAGGUGUUUUAAACCUAAACAUUGAAGAAACGACAACGAAUAUGCGAAUAAUUAUAAUUUGAGAGAUGAAUCGAGAUAAUGGGUUAUGUCUUAAAACGAUUAUUAUACGCAAUCAUUAUUAUGCGAUAAAGAGAGUUAAAUAAUAUUCGCACUUGUGUUAAGAAGAGUUUUAAUUUGAUGGUACUAAAUCAUUGGAUCGUAAUAAACAUUUGAUGAAAAGAGUGUUGAAACUUUGACGUGUUUUAAUACAAACGAUUAUGUUAUAGUUGUUAGUUCUAAGUUUCGCGUUUUACGUUGAAGGGUGAUUGAAUUCCACUUGUUUGCGAAGGAAUAAUUGUAAUGCAAAAUUUCAAAUGUUGCGUUAAUUGGUUGGAUUGUGUCGUGGUACUUUAGUAUAGUGUUAGAAUUAUUAAUGUAGUAGUCAUAUGGUUGCGAUAACGGUCUUAUAGUUAGAGGUAGUAUUGUGAUGAAAAUGUUAUGAUGUAGGUUGGACAUCGUGAAAUUAGCGUUGGUAUCACAACCUUAUCAAAUUGUAUGAUACAUGACUGUUUUGCUAUUCAUAUUGGAAUUUGCGGUGAUGUAGGUGUGCUCAUCGGUUAUUUUUUUUUCAUCUUGCAUUUUUUUUUAUGUAUACAUAAGAUGUCAUCUUUGUUGAGCAUCGCUACUAUUAUUACCCUGUUAGUACCAUUAGCACCGUCGUUAUAUACGUACAUGAUGCAUUACUUUAGUCAUAUAUAAGUUCAUGAUCUUAAUUGAUAUAAAUUCUAUACUUUCAACAUAUGUAUGGUAAGAGAAUAGCUGAAAAAUAUUGGUAACCUUUGGCAUUGCCCUUCAUAAUUCUAAGUCAUCCUCACAUUGUCAUAAUUAGAAUUUGAAAUUUUGAUGCAUAAUGGUUUUAUUAUUGAACAACUAUGAUAUGUGUAUUAGUAUCGUGGCUGUGAAUGUAUGAUUAUUAACUACAGUCUCUUGCUAAUAUGUGUCAUAUAUAAUUGGAUUAUAUACUUGAAACAUGUAUGAUGUUAUGAGUUAUUAAUUCGAAUUGUUAAUCUAUUAAUCAAGUCUUGAUGCAUGAUUUAGAAUGUUAUAAAAUGAUUUGACCAUAUAUGAUUAAUGAAAAGAGGAUUUCAUGUUAAGUAAAGGGCUAGGAUUAUGUUAUGAUAAGUAAAAUAAGCAGUGAAUCGAUUUGGGAGUUGAUAACCUACCAGUCUGGUAAGAUUCAAGUAUCCUCAGGUCUAGGGUGUCUAAUUAUAAUACGAGUUAAGUGUUGAGCAACUUCGUGCACUUUACUUUUAGGACUUUGUUGUUUUGAUAUUUUACCCCCAUUCAUGAAUCAAAUUAUAAUAGUUAAACCUUCUGUACAUUACAAGAUUAUCACAAAGUCGACCUUAGAUGGUCACGUAGAAUUGAAAAAGUCGUUUGAAGAAUUACAUUAGAUAACAGGACGUUUCGUGUUGUUACGAACUCAAGUGAUAUAUUUUUUUUAAAAGCCACAUCUGCUAGAUCUGUUAUUUUUGUAAACAUUAAGAAGAGUUGUCUUACUAAUAGAACAUAUUGAGACCCAAAUACUAGGAUAUGUAGUAUUGAGAUCGAAGAUAUGAAAUAACUAAAGUUCCAUGGUCUAACCACUCUAUCCUUGCACAUGUUUCGAGGUUAGUGAGUUACGGGGUCGUAACUAAGUUUUAAGGGGGGUAGAACGCGAUAGAAUUUCGCGCGUUUACACGCGUUUUCUCCUGCGUUUCCACGCAUUUUUGUCUCUAUGAUAACAACCUAUUACAAACUUAUAUGCUUUGGAUUGAUUGUUUGAACCUAUCUAUGUGAUAUGUACACGCUUUGAUGAUUGUGUGAAUCAAUCGGUGUGAUAUUUACAUGCUUUUGAUUGAUUGUGUUAGGUUAAUUGUGUGACAUUUACAUGUUUUGAUUGGGUGUUGAGUUAAUUUAAAUGAUUAUGAAUGGUCGAAACGAAAUAUGCAUGAAUAUUUGAAUAGAGUGUGUAUAAUAGUGUCAAUAAGGUCACGAUCUUUGAGUUAAUUCCUUAGGCUUAAAAUCGUUAAGACGCCUCCUUGAGCUAUUAGAAAUAUAAAUUUUCACAAUUUGGCACUUGGUUGCGCUAGUUUCGGGGACGAAACUCCUUUUAAGGGAGGUAGUCUGUAACACCCUGAGAUUUUAAUGACGUAAUUAUUUAAUAUUUUAAUAGUUUUUAAAGAUUUUACGAUUAUAUUUAAUUAUUUCUGAAAUUAGUUUUAAUAAAUUUCUUGCAUACGUAAAUUUAAAUGUUAAUUUAUAUAUAUAUAUCAAAAAUAUAGUUACGAUUUCUUAAAUAAAGAAGUUCGAAUCAAAAUGAUUAUUUUAUUAAAAUGUGUGAGCCCUCGAAGGUGAGUCUCUUAGUUGGGUCUCGUAAGAAAACAAAUCGAGAUGAAAAAUAAAUAAAUAAAUAAAUAAAUAUAAUAACAAUAAUAAUAAUAAUAAUAAUAAUAAUAAACAAUAAUGAUAAUAGCAACGAGUAUAAAAAGCCCAUGAAACCCUAAUCACUAAAGCUAGCCGUCUUUCCCCUUUUUCCUUCCUCCCUCUUCUCUUUCUUUCUCCCUUUCCCUUGCUGUGCCGCCAGCAGUCACGACCACCAGCAGCAGCGGCCGUUUCUUCUCGCACGCAGCAGCAGCCAGGGGCUGCGUUUCUUCUCGCACGCAGCAGCAGCCAGGGGCUGCGUUUCUUCUCGCAAACAGAAGCAGCCCAGCCGCCCACGAAAACACCACACCGGAGCCUCGCCUCACUCCCACGGCAGCCCAGCAGCAGGCGGCUGCAAGCACGCCCAGCAGCAGGCGGCUGAAACACGCCACAGCAGGCGGGGUCUCCUCUUUGGAUCCGUGCAGCCUUCCCCCUCCACCACCGUGUCUUGAGCCACGCCACCACCACAAGAACCACCAACCUCUUGACCCAUUUCCUAGUCUCACCCAUUGUGCCCAUUCUUAAGAGAAAGUAGAGCCUUAGUUGGGUGAUUUUGUGAUUCUUGAUCGUGCAGUGACGCUUACAGCAGGAGGAUUAUAGACUGGCUUAGCAGGUACUGGAGCUUCUUAUGUAUUGCAUUGCAUUUGGGAAGAGUGAUGAGCGCGAAGCAUAACUUGUGUCAUUACCCCUAUCUUUCGAUUUUGUAUCUCUUGUUAUCCUUUGUAAAUUUUGAUUGUAUAUGUUUUGUUAUGAGGCCUUGUGCCCUCUCACGUGCAUUUGUAUUUCCGCUGCGUAGUUUAUAACUCUGUAUGGUUUUGAGGAGUUAAGUCUUUUUAAAACGCAAACGUCGACACUGGAACCACGAUCCAUGCUUGGCAUGUUGAUUUGAGAAGCCGGCGACGAAUUAUUCCGCCGUGACAUAGCUUUGAUAGGCCAUUGGUGCCUUUACUUUAUUAGUUUUUGAAUUAACUUUUGUUUUCUACAAAGACGCACAAUUUUAAGGCAGAUGCUGCCAAAAUUUCCACUCACUCACCUUUUUAAGUUAAUAAUUAAAGUUUAUUUAAAAUUCUUUUCCUUUUUCUUUUAUGUAACACCCGAAUUUCCUCCCGUCCUUUACGGUUUUGGUUUCGUUAAGGGGCCGGAAAUUCUGGGGUGUUACACCAAGUCAGCCAUGGUGUUGAACAAUUGUUGUGAGUCAUUUAAUUCGGUUUCGAGGGAGUGUAGAAACAAACCUAUAUUGAGCAUGAUGGAGUGGAUAAGAAGAUAUGUCAUGGCAAGGGCUUUCAACAAAAGGGAAGGCCAAUGAGUGAUGGUGUUCCAAAACAAGCCAUAAAGAAGAAAAGGGGAAAAAUGAGCCAAAGUCAAGAAGAAAUCAACAACAACUCCUCACAACCAGUAGAUUCAUCUCAAACAUCUCACACUUGAAUUUAGUAGCUCUGAAGUUUGUUUGUUAAACAUUAUUACUUUUUAUUGCUUAGUCAAUGACUUUAUAUGUAUUUUCAUGUUAUGGAUGACAUUAUGCAUUAUGAGAAUUGGUUGAAUGCUUAACAAA